UAAAACCUGUGUAACACUAAUACACAUCUCCUGAAUGCAAACCAGACACUUUAAUUAAGCUAAGGCUUCAC
rnacentral:tRNA from 1 species